rnacentral:lncRNA from 1 species
AGAUGAGACUGAACUUGCAAGACAGCUGGAACGGCUUGAGAGAGAAAAUGCAGAAGUGGAUGGAGAUGAUGAUGCAGAAGAAAUGGAAGCCAAAACUGAAGAUUAACGUUUUGGAAAACAGUCCAAUUUAAGGAGUACGAAGCAGUCCUUCCUGGCUGUAAACCCUAGACUUGAAGUUUUCCAGUAUUGAAAACUCAAAGCUGAAUAUUUUUAUUUCCAAGUAUUUAAGUAUUCAACAAGCCAGAAUCUAAAUGCCCUCCUUCAUGUCAGCUGUUUUCACAUAGUGGCUCUAACACCUCAAGCAUUUUUCAAGGGAGUGGCUUGAUUUGACCAGAGACAAAUGUUAAACAGCAGUCCUAAUAUUGGGCCUACAGUUUCCAUUUCUCAUGUCUCUGGAAUGGCACCGUUAUGGUUCAGAGAUUACCAAGGGCUCCAAACACAAACAAUCCCAAUCUUUCUAUAUAAAAUGUAUUCAAGUACACAUCAAAUAAAUUUCUGGGAUAUUUUAAAACAAAACAAAACAAAACAAAACAAAACAAAACAAAACACUGACAAGCUAAAGUUUUACCAAGAUAUGUGAGGCAGACACUAAAACAGGUUUCUUUAGUUGGUUAGAACACUUCACUCCAAUUUCUUUUUUUUCUUUUUCAUGAUAAUCUCAACUCUAACCACAAUCUAUAAUAGAUCCAACUUUCUAAGUAGUACAAAACUUCAGACUAACUUUCAAGUGUUUGAUAGUAAAUAAUUAUUACAAGUGUCUUUUCCUUAGGAGAGUAAGUUAGAAUUAUACUCAGCAAUGGUUUACUCCCUCUGUCCUACAGUACUAUGUCCAAACCUGGGGCAUCAUGACAACACUCUACCAUUUAUUCACAUUCCCAACCUCGAACUCAGAAAUUCGCCUGCCUCUGCCUCCCGAGUGCUGGGAUCAAAGGCGUUUGCCACCACACCUGGCUAAAAAAACAUUUUAUUUUGAAACAAGGUUUUGAUUUGAUGGAGUUGUCCUUGAAUUCCUUUGUGCUUUAGCCUACUAAGUGCUAGAAUUACAGGGCACAUUCGCCAUCUGCAGUAAUGGUUUACUUUAUCGUUUAACAUCUGAAGAAAAUCUUAAAGUCAAUUAACUAUUCUUUUAAUGGUCUAAUAAAAGCUAAGGUGCAAGGCAGGGAUAGCCACCUUGGAGUAAACAGAGAAACUCAACAAAUAUUUUUGAGAUAGAAAUAUUGUAAGACAUUGCCUUUAAAAAGGUUUCAUUCAUUUUUUAUUAAGCUGGAUGUGAAAGUGCACAUUUAAACCCAGCAAUCAGGAGGCAGAGGAAGGAGGAUCUCUGAGUUUAAGACUGCAGAGCACUUCCAGAUAGCCAGGAAAUUAUGUCUUGAAAAACAAACAGACAAACAAGCAAACAUUAAAGGAGAUAUAUUUCUAUAGUGUAUAUUAGUUCAGCAUAAAAGUGAGAAUAUAUAAGCCGGGCUUGGUGGUGCACGUCUUUAAUCCCAGCGCUCGGGAGUCAGAGGCAGGUGGAUUUCUGAGUUUGAGGCCAGCCUGGUUGACAAAGUGAGUUCCAGGACAGCCAGGACUACACAGAGAAACUCUGUCUCGAAAAACAAAAACAAAAAAAACCCAAACAAACAAAAAAAAAAGUGAGAAUAUAUUCACUUACUACCACUGAGACAGAAUGUAUGUUAAAAUUAUUUUUAUCAUUAUAAAUAUUGACAGGUAUAAAUUAAGUUGGUCAAUAUACAUGUCAAAAAAUACAAAGUUUAGUUGGGGAUUAGUUAAGAGAUAGAAGCACUUGCCUAGCUCAAAUCACUAGGUUCAGUUCAAUGCCAUAGUAAAGUAUAAUUAAAUGAACUUUUACCUAUUUGUUUAGGAAAUUAAGAGGAAACUAACAGGUUACAUGUUGACCUGUAGACUACAAUGUCAGCAUCAGACACUGCAUAUUGUUAAAAUACUGACUAAGAAUGUCCAGGGCGAGAGAGAUGCUCAGAGGUUAAGAGCACUGGCUGCUCUUCUAGAGGUCCUGACUUCAAUUCUCAGCACACACAUGGCAUUCAUUAUCUGAUGCCUUUUCUGGUAUGCAGGCAUACAUGCAAACAAAACACUCACAUAUCUAAAAUACAGAAAUAAAUCUUUAAAAGAAUUUCAGCAGUUAAAUUUUCUGCUGAUUAUUUUUCUUUGAUACAAAGUACAAAAGUAAAGGAAGCAACAGGCAGUCCAACAGGAACCCAAGUUAAGCAUGCUAAAAAUGAAAGUAUUAAGUCAACUCAACCUCCCAAUGACUACAAAUGUGACUCUAUCAAGAAGCUUACACUAACGGUACCUUCAGACUCUUAGGUUGUUGUCGAACUUCCAUGACAUGUUUUCGCCUCAGUUCCCGUUCCCUUCUCUUAUUGUACUCUAGCUGGUUAGUGAGCUCAGUUUGAUGCUGCAGUCUGAUCAACUCACAGCGCAUCUUCUGAAU